rnacentral:tRNA from 2 species
GGCCACGUGGCGGAGUGGUGACGCAGCGGAUUGCAAAUCCGUAUACCCCGGUUCGAUUCCGGGCGUGGCCU